UCUCUCUAGUUCUUAUGACAUCAAGGUUGGGCUUAAAAAUGAGUAGGUUCCAAAGCUUGCUAGUCCACUUACCAGCAAAUCUCCAGUUGGAUGGGUGUUCUUCCUUGCCUUUUCAGCAAGGACUGUCAAAGGUCCUAUCAAUCAUGCUGCAAAUCCUUGUUUGGAGAAGUAUUCAGUCUAGCUGACCUAAAUGGAUUCCUUGUGUGAUCUUUCAGCGUUGGUGUGUGGAGCAAUGUAAUUCCCAAAUACACAUCUCUACCUGACAGCCCCCAGCUUGGUACCGAAUCCAGAAGCUAUUCAAGAGAUUAUGAUUAUGUCCCUGUCUUUAUAAAUAAACAGAAAAUAAUAAA